rnacentral:lncRNA from 1 species
AGUCAUACCUGCCCAUGCGGGCCCCACCUGCAACCAUCAGCAUGAACCAGCCGGAAAAAUUCCAAUUGGAAAAACACAGAUGCAGAGGAACCAUCCGAGUAAGCAGAACCACCAGAAAAGCAAACUCCACCAGCGGAACUAUCCCUUUCGAGGAACCCACACCCUAUCAAACAUCCAGAUCGGAGGCCCAAUUCGCAGACCAAAUCUCUCCUCUUCUUAAAC